rnacentral:tRNA from 1 species
CACCCUUCUAAGGUGAAGAUUACAGGUUCGAGUCCUGUCCGGGGUACCA